rnacentral:rRNA from 1 species
AUUGAACGCUGGCGGCAGGCCUAACACAUGCAAGUCGAGCGAGCGGCGGACGGGUGAGUAAUGUAUGGGGACUGCCCGAUAGAGGGGGAUAACUACUGGAAACGGUGGCUAAUACCGCAUACUAUCGGAUAACCCAUAUGGGAUUAGCUAGUAGGUGGGGUAAAGGCACACCUAGGCGACGAUCUCUAGGUGGUCUGAGAGGAUGAUCAGCCCACCUGGGAUUGCGCACCGGCCCCGCCUCCUACGGAGGAAGAAUUGGGGAAUAUUGGACAAUGGGGGCAACCCUGACGCAGCCAUGCCGCGUGAAUGAGGAAGGCCUUCGGGUUGUAAAGUUCUUUCGGUAGCGAGGCGUUAACUACAGAAGAAGCACCGGCUAACUCCGUGCCAGCCGCCGCGGUAAUAC